CGGGCCACGGACAAGCGGNCCAAGUCAGAAGCCACAGGCUACAUACAGCAGCCCUUCCAGUCGGUCUUCAACAGCGUAGGACCUCUAUUGCUCGGAGAGCCAGCAAGCACCCAUGACCAUCAAAAGAUGGGAACAAAGACUUGGAGGGCUCCUGAACUUUCUGGAAACAAAAUUGUCUAGGUUACAGAGGCCAGUAUGUAAAGGCCACCAGAGAACUGUGGAGAGCCUCACAAGUUGACUGUCAGCAAUUUGGAAAGCAGACAGCUUCCCCAACCAACAACCCAAGGAUGGAAGGGCGAGAGUCACAGGCGUUGAGUGACACCCACUAAGUGUACAUAAGGGAAAUAAAGCCAGUUCCCCAAAACUAA
rnacentral:lncRNA from 1 species